rnacentral:lncRNA from 1 species
AUGUUUAAAAUGGGGAUCCCAAUCCCCUUCAGGUUGGUCUCCUGCUGCCCUUGUGCCCCGCUCCUGAGACAGAAGGGUGCCAGCGCUGUGCCGCGCCAAGGGCUCCCGAGGCAGUGGUGGCYCGUGGGGCUGCGGCAAGUCUGGGCCCUGCUUCCCCGGGGAGUUUGCAGCAGGGCAGGGGCCAGGAGAGCAGGGGUGUCCUGCACGUGCCUGAUGCGAGGGCAGGGGAGGCUCCUCACUUUCCCUUCCUUUUCUUCUCCUGCAGAAGACCAGGCUGGGAGGAAGGCGGGUGCUACCGAGAUUUAUACCAGUGGCACAACUGCUGCGACGCCAGCCAGUGCCUUUACGCACAAGGCAGGGAGCAGGCAGAGCCAAGGGGUUACGUCACCAAAGUGGCAGUUUUGCAGCAGCGCUGCUGCAGUGUUGUCAGAGUCAGCAGGUCGUGGGAGGAGAUGGAGAGACGCCCUGGUGGGAAUGGGGGAGAGGGAAAGGGACAGCCGUUUGGCAGGAGGCCGCCGAUCUGCCAGGGCCGGGGGGCUGCCCCUUGCUAGUGCUGCCCAAGGGGUCCUGCAAGGAGUGGCGGGUGCUGCUGGGGCUCUGCACGGGCCCUUGGUCCCCCCAAGGGCUCUGGGAGCAGGGACUUGGCACAGAGCUGUGCCGGGCACUGCCUUGCUCCAGUCCCUUGGUCCUGGGUGCCUUGUGGCAUCCGUGCCAGCCCUGGCUGCCGCUGCCACCAGCCAAGCCGUUUGCUUUGCCAGGCCAUGGGAGCUGCUGCUGUGCUCCUCCUGCGCCUCCAAAGGGGCCCAUCGGUGCUGCUCAGGCCUGGGAAAUGCCACUUCCAGCUGGGAAUGCGACGAGUGUGCCAGCCUGGGCCCCGGUAAGAGGCAAAGUGGCCAGGGGCCCACGGGCUGGGGCCAGCGGCCAGGCAGCGGGUGCUCAGGGCAGCGCUGGCCGAGUGUCUCUGUCCGCGGGAGGGCUGGGGGCACCGCUCUGGGCUCUGCGGAUCCGGGGGGCAUGGGCCCGUGCUGCUGA